rnacentral:rRNA from 1 species
UACAGAGGAUGCAAGCGUUAUCCGGAAUGACUGGGCGUAAAGCGCAUGUAGGUGGUUUACUAAGUUUGAUGUGAAAGCCCUGGGCUUAACCUGGGAAUGGCGUUGAAAACGAGUGGACUUGAGUCUGGCAGAGGGCAGUGGAAUUUCCGGUGUAGCGGUGAAAUGCGUAGAGAUCGGGAGGAAGGCCGGUGGCGAAGGCGGCGCUCUGGAACGUUUCUGACACUGAGGCUCGAAAGCGUGGGGAGCAAACAGG